GAAAAAUAUAAAGGUUGAAAGAUUGCCCACCGUAUUGGGUAACGAGCCUCCUAAUCUGUUUCCACGUAUUGCCAGAACUUUCAAACUGCUGCAGUUGGCUAGAGAACCAAGAAAAUCCAUUUCAUCUUCUUCUCCAUCUCCUAGACUAUUAUCAUCCAAACCCAAUAGUGUGAGAUACGGUAGACUUCCAAAUGAAUUUAAAAUUUUUCCAGUGAAAUUGUUAUUUGCCAAUAAAACAAGUUGGAGUUCAGAAGCAUUAAAUAUUGACAAUGGAAUAGGUCCAACAAAUUGGUUAUUCCGGACAUCUAUGUGUUGGAGAUGAGGAAAAGAAAGGCCUAAAUCCGGUGGAAGGCUUCCACGGAGUUGAUUAUCACCCAAAGAGAAAAUGGUAAUCAGUGAUAAAUUAUACAGGGAUGGAGGGACAAUACCAGAUAGUUUAUUCCCGCCAAGACCAAUAGCAGUUAAGCUCUUCAACUGACCCGCAGCAUGUGGAAUACUUCCCUCAAAGAAAUUUUCAGAUGCAGACAGAGUUUCCAGAGAGGAAAGAUUAACAAUAGAGUACGGUAUCUCUCCUUGAAGAUGGUUCUCGUAAAUCGAUAGCACUCUGAGCUUUGACAAGUAGCCAAGUUCUACAGGAAUUUUCCCUCUUAACUUGUUGUUACCAAGUGAUAGAUCUAUAAGGUUGAUGCAACGGGACAAGUUGGAUGGAAUUUGGCCCUCUAAGGAAUUAUUGGUCAGUCUCAAAACUUGCAACCGAAAUAGCCUACCAAUUUCAGGUGGAAUUUCACCAUGAAGGGUGUUGUUAGAGAGUGUUAUCUCUCGAAGAAAGCUAAG
rnacentral:misc_RNA from 1 species